AUUGAACGCUGGCGGCAGGCCUAACACAUGCAAGUCGAACGAGUGGCGGACGGGUGCGUAAUGUCUGGGAAACUGCCCGAUGGAGGGGGAUAACUACUGGAAACGGUAGCUAAUACCGCAUACCAUCGGAUGUGCCCAGAUGGGAUUAGCUAGUAGGUGGGGUAACGGCUCACCUGGGCGACGAUCCCUAGCUGGUCUGAGAGGAUGACAGGACACACUGAAACGGAGAGACGGUCCAGACUCCUACGGGAGGCAGCAGUGGGGAAUAUUGCACAAUGGGCGCAAGCCUGAUGCAGCCAUGCCGCGUGUAUGAAGAAGGCCUUCGGGUUGUAAAGUACUUUCAGCGAGGAGGCGUUACCCGCAGAAGAAGCACCGGCUAACUCCGGGCCAGCAGCCGCGGUAAUAC
rnacentral:rRNA from 1 species